rnacentral:tRNA from 1 species
UAGCUCAGUUGGUAGAGCAUGGUGUUUGCAACGCCAGGGUUGUAGGUUCGAUUCCCAC